ACGAAGGGGGCUAGCGUUGUUCGGAUUUACUGGGCGUAAAGCGCACGUAGGCGGAUGGUUAAGUCAGGGGUGAAAUCCCAGAGCUCAACUCUGGAACUGCCUUUGAUACUGGCCAUCUUGAGUCCGGAAGAGGUGAGUGGAACUCCUAGUGUAGAGGUGGAAUUCGUAGAUAUUAGGAAGAACACCAGUGGCGAAGGCGGCUCACUGGUCCGGAACUGACGCUGAGGUGCGAAAGCGUGGGGAGCAAACAGGA
rnacentral:rRNA from 1 species